rnacentral:tmRNA from 1 species
AAAAUUGAAACAUUCGGAAAAUAGGGUUAUAUUACUGGUGCUUCUUCGGAAGCUAUGGCGAUAAACGCUCACGAAAUAAACGGACCGGACCCGGGGGCGGUACCCGGCGGCUCCACCAUGAAAUGCUCGGACAAGCUCAUGGGGCCGAAACAGGAUCGACGGACGCGUAAAGGUGCUAGCUUUCGCUCGGUGGGGUACCGCCGUACCGGUCCAAAUCGCACAAUUGCCAACGACAAUCGUGCUCCGGUAGCCCUCGCCGCGUAAGCGGUGCGGUUUACCGAACGACAAGCCCAGGGCACUUAGCACGCUCUGGCGGGGCCCGCAGGCGCCUGGCAACAGAAGCCUGCGCC